rnacentral:rRNA from 1 species
CACGUAGGGUGCGAGCGUUGUCCGGAAUUAUUGGGCGUAAAGAGCUCGUAGGCGGUCUGUCGCGUCGGCUGUGAAAUCCCGAGGCUCAACCUCGGGUCUGCAGUCGAUACGGGCAGACUGGAGUUCGGCAGGGGAGACUGGAAUUCCUGGUGUAGCGGUGAAAUGCGCAGAUAUCAGGAGGAACACCGGUGGCGAAGGCGGGUCUCUGGGACGGUACUGACGCUGAGACGCGAAAGCGUGGGGGAGCGAACAGG